GCCCUAUCCUCGCCGUAAACAUCCCUAACACCUCCAGCAAUGGUGGGGUUAUCAUCAAUGUCAGACACCGUGGAACUUGAACCGUUACUUGUUGCCAUGACAACACUGAUGGGACUGUGAUCAACUGAUUUCUUGGUAGGACCUAAACAAUGCACCUCAAAGAACCUUUAUGCUUACUACAAGAAGAUAACCCAACAAUGCUUGAGUUGCACUGUGAUCAAAGUUACCAACAAAAAUGGAAAAAUGUAUUAAAAAGAUUAAUACCCAGAUGAAAAAAAUCAAAUCUUGUUGUAAAUUUACCAAAUUGUUAAGUGUGAUUUUGUGGAAAUGGAAUGUGAAAAGAGAAAAUUAGAAUUGUAUGUAAUUGUUGUUAUUACCAUGAAAGUUGAAGUUUUUGAGAUCAUGAUUGUGAGACAAGUGUUUGAAGGAGAGGGAGUUGCGGUUGUUUGAAUCCAAUGGGAGAGAGAAAGAAAUGGGAUUGAGAGAGAGAGAGUCUUUAGGAGAAGAUUCAAUUUCCUUGUUUUUCUCUAUC
rnacentral:lncRNA from 1 species